rnacentral:rRNA from 1 species
AAUGAACGCUGGCGGCAGGCCUAACACAUGCAAGUCGAACGGGUCCUUCGGGACUAGUGGCGGACGGGUGAGUAACGCGUGGGAACGUACCUUUUGUCUUCGGAAUAGCCUCGGGAAACUGGGAGUAAUACCGAAUGUGCCCUACGGGGAAGAUUUAUCGGCAAAAGAUCGGCCCGCGUUGGAUUAGGUAGUUGGUGGGGUAAUGGCCUACCAAGCCGACGAUCCAUAGCUGGUUUGAGAGGAUGAUCAGCCACACUGGGACUGAGACACGGCCCAGACUCCUACGGGAGGCAGCAGUGGGGGAAUCUUAGACAAUGGGCGCAAGCCUGAUCUAGCCAUGCCGCGUGAUCGAUGAAGGCCUUAGGGUUGUAAAGAUCUUUCGUGGGGGAAGAUAAUGACGGUACCCCAAGAAGAAGCCCCGGCUAACUCCGUGCCAGCAGCCGCGGUAAU